GUGAUCUUUUAUUAGCGGAAAAUGGAGAAAAAGAUAUGGACCAAAUAACACUCAUUUAGCAAUCGUGUCGUUUACAACAAUCUGGAUAGGGUUUGCUGUUAUCUUGUGGUAUCGUCUUGCAGUUCGGCGGUGGCAGGGACUCUGCGCAGCUAAAAGCAUCACAAUGGUAAAUCGCGCAUUCGCCAGGAUUCUCGAAGCUUUCACCAAUAGUAAACUGACGAUCGCCGAAUUCGCAGUCAGCUGUUUAAGUGCAAAAAUAUUUCGAUAAAUCGCCAAUUAGCAUAUUACUGUAACUUACCUGCCCGAUCAAGGUCACAACAGAGUAGUAGAAUAGCUGCGACUAAGAGAGGCUGCAACGCCAUUACUCAUGCGCAGUAGCAAUGAAUGUCUGAGCGGCACAAAGUACAAUAAGAAACUGUGCGAUUUGCGUUAGCUACUUUGCCUUUAUGUUUAAAAAUCAAUUUGCAUAUUUAAAACGUCGAUCUUUAACAUUUGAACAAGGUAGUGCAAGCGAAGAAGUCUAGGCGAGUUUAAUUUAUACUAGAAUAAAAAGAAAUAAUUUUACACUUGUGUGCAAUUUAAUAGCUUUUGCAGCUGUGAAAUUACCAUCAAAUUGCAAAUACUAUAAAAACAAGAAAAAACGUUAACUUCGGCUGCACCGAAGCUAAUAUACCCUUCACAGGUGCGUUUCUUUUAGUAACUAUGUGUUCAGUCUGUAUGGAAGCUAUAUGCUAUAGUUAACCGAUCUGAACAAUUUCUUCGGAGAUUACGUUGUUGCCUUAGAAAAUAAUCUGUACCAAAUUUGGUGAAGAAACAUUGUCAAAUGUGAAACUUUCCAUACAAGAACUUGAUUCCGAUCGUUCAGUUUAUAUGGUAGCUAUAUGUUAUAGUGGUCCGAUAUCGGCUGUUCCGACAAAUGAGCAGCUUCUUGAAGAGAAAAUGACGUUUGCAAAAUUUCAAAAGGAUAUCUUAAAAACUGAAGGACUAGUUUGUAUAUAUACAGACGGACGGACGGACGUACAGACAGACAGACGGACAUGGUUAAAUCGACUCAGCUCAACGUACUGAUCACUUAUAUACAUAUAUACUUUAUAGGGUCUCCGAUGCUUCUUUCUGGGUGUUACAAACAUCGUGACAAACUUAAUAUACCCUGUUCAGGGUAUAAAAAUGUAUAACCAACCUGUUUAUGUUAAUAUUCUUUACGGCAUUAUCGCUGUUAAACAAACAAGAAAUUACAGUUAAUUUUUACAAAGGAGCAAUCAAAAGAUAAAUAACUGCAAUUUAAUUUUUUCAGUAUUUUUAAAUAACAAUGACAUAGACAUACAAGAAAACAAUUUUUAUAGAAAAAAUUUAAAAAAUGAAGUUAUAAAAAGUUCGAUUACGAUGGUCAAACACUGUAAACAAUUUCCAAAAGUUUUUAAGCAAAGAUGGUUGGUGCUGGUUGUAUUAUCGGACAAAUACACGAAAAAAACACUCUCUAAAUGAGAUUAUGAUGAAAAAAAGCCUUCAAUUUUCAUUCUCCUCUGCCUUCCUAAUCUAAUCUUCCCAGGAAGGGGGUUUCAACAGCUAAAUUAAGCAAAUCGUUUUCCAGAC